rnacentral:rRNA from 1 species
UAUUGGUCAAUGGGCGGGAGCCUGAACCAGCCAAGUUGCGUGAGGGAAGACGGUCCUAUGGAUUGUAAACCUCUUUAGGCGGGGAGCAAUGCCGGGCACGCGUGCCCGGAGGGAGAGUACCCGCAGAAUAAGCAUAGGCUAACCCCGUGCCAGCAGCCGCGGUACUACGGAGGAUGCGAGCGUUAUCCGGAUUUAUUGGGUUUAAAGGGAGCGUAGGCGGAGUCUUAAGUCAGCGGUAAAAUGUCCGGGCUCAACCCGGGCCGGCCGUUGAAACUGGGGGUCUUGAGUGGGCGAGAAGUAUGCGGAAUGCGUGGUGUAGCGGUGAAAUGCAUAGAUAUCACGCAGAACUCCGAUUGCGAAGGCAGCAUACCGGCGCCCUACUGAUGCUGAGGCACGAAAGCGUGGGGAUCGAACAGG